CAGUCUAAAGACGAGCAGAGUUCCAUGGAGGAGAAAUACCGCAAUGAGCUCAACGCUCAUAUCAAGUUGUCUUCCCUCUACAAGGGGUCAGUGACAGACAUGGAGACAAAGAAUCAAGAACUGAGCAGAGCAUUGGAAGAGCUCAGCAAGCUGGUUAAAGAAACUGGGGAAGCCAAUAAGGCUCUAGAAAAGAAGGUGUCGGAGGGAGAACUGAAGAAGCGGCUUGAAGCAGA